GAGGGGGAGGGGAGGCUUGGCGCUGUCAGUGGAUCCAGGCGCGCGCUCGCAGCCAGAUUCUGAGCUGUGAACCUGGGCCGCCCUCGCGGGCGAAGGCUGGUGGCUGCGGCUGUCACUUUCCUUAAGCCGCCUCUUGUAGACGCGCCUGAAACGCAGAACACGGCCCACUAAGUCGCACCGGCAGGCACAACUACAGCGCUUAGGAGCACAUCCCCCUAAUACAACCCAGAUCCAGGUCAUCUUAGAGGACCCAGGACUCCAGAAAUGUUUCCGUUGAAGGAUGCUGACAUGGGUGCCUUUACUUUCUUUGCCUCAGCUCUUCCACAUGAUGUUUGUGGGAGCAAUGGACUUCCUCUCACACCAAAUUCCAUCAAAAUUUUAGGUCGCUUUCAAAUCCUUAAGACCAUCACCCAUCCCAGGCUGUGCCAAUAUGUGGAUAUUUCUAGGGGAAAGCAUGAACGACUGGUGGUGGUGGCUGAGCACUGUGAGCAGAGUUUGGAAGACCUGCUUCGGGAAAGGAAACCUGUGAGUUAUAUGAAGGUUUUGUGCAUAGCAUUUGAGGUACUUCAGGGCCUACAGUACUUGAACAAGCAUGGCAUAGUACACAGAGCACUGUCUCCUCAUAAUAUCCUGUUGGAUCGAAAGGGUCAUGUUAAACUGGCUAAAUUUGGACUUUAUCACAUGACAGCUCAUGGUGAUGAUGUCGAUUUCCCAAUAGGGUAUCCCUCAUAUCUGGCACCUGAGGUAAUUGCACAAGGAAUUUCCAAAACUACUGAUCAUGUGCCAAGUGAAAAACCAUUGCCUUCUGGCCCCAAAUCAGAUGUGUGGUCUCUUGGGAUAAUUUUAUUUGAACUUUGUGUGGGAAGAAAAUUGUUUCAGAGCUUGGAUAUUUCUGAAAGACUAAAAUUUGUGCUUACUUUGGGCUGUGUAGAUGACACUAUAAUAGUUCUGGCUGAGGAACAUGGUUGUCUGGACAUUAUUAAGGAGCUUCCUGAAAAUGUGAUAAACAUUUUGAAGAAGUGCCUCACCUUCCAUCCUUCUAAGAGGCCAACUGCAGAUGAAUUAAUGAAGGACCAGGUGUUCAGUGAAGUGUCUCCUUUAUACACACCCUUUAUCAAACCUGCCAGUCUGUUCUCAUCUUCUCUGCGAUGUGCUAAUUUAACUCUGCCUGAGGAUAUCGAUGACUUGUGUAAAGUAGAUACAGACAGUGAUCACCUGGCAGAGAGAUCUAUUGAGGAGGUUUACUAUCUGUGGUGUCUGGCUGGAGGUGACCUGGAGAAGGAGCUUACAAACAAGGAAAUUAUUCGAUCCAAACCACCUAUCUGCACACUCCCGAAUUUUCUCUUUGAAGAUGGUGAAAGUUUUGGGCAAGGUCGAGAUAGAAGCUCACUCUUAGAUGAUACCACUGUGACAUUGUCCUUAUGCCAGCUAAGAAACAGAUUAAAAGAUGUUGGAGGAGAAGCAUUUUAUCCAUUACUUGAAGAUGACCAGCCGAAUUUACCUCAUUCAAACAGCAAUAAUGAGUUAUCUGCAGCUGCCACCCUGCCUUUAAUCAUUAGAGAGAGGGAUACAGAAUAUCAGCUAAACAGAAUUAUCCUCUUCGACAGGCUGCUGAAGGCUUAUCCAUAUAAAAAAAAUCAAAUCUGGAAAGAAGCAAGAGUUGACAUCCCUCCACUUAUGAGGGGUUUAACCUGGGCUGCUCUUCUGGGAGUGGAGGGAGCUAUUCAUGCCAAGUAUGAUGCAAUUGAUAAAGACACUCCAAUACCCACAGAUAGACAAAUUGAAGUGGAUAUUCCUCGAUGUCAUCAGUAUGACGAACUGUUAUCAUCCCCAGAAGGUCACGCAAAGUUCCGGCGUGUACUGAAAGCUUGGGUAGUUUCUCAUCCUGAUCUUGUGUACUGGCAAGGUCUUGACUCACUUUGCGCUCCAUUCCUAUAUCUAAAUUUCAACAAUGAAGCCUUAGCUUAUGCAUGCAUGUCUGCUUUUAUUCCCAAAUACCUGUAUAACUUCUUCUUGAAAGACAACUCCCAUGUAAUACAAGAGUACCUGACUGUGUUCUCUCAGAUGAUUGCGUUCCACGAUCCAGAGCUAAGUAAUCAUCUCAAUGAGAUUGGCUUCAUUCCUGAUCUCUAUGCCAUCCCUUGGUUUCUUACCAUGUUCACUCAUGUAUUUCCACUGCACAAAAUUUUCCACCUCUGGGAUACAUUACUACUUGGAAAUUCCUCUUUCCCGUUCUGUAUUGGAGUAGCCAUCCUCCAGCAGCUGCGGGACCGGCUUUUGGCUAAUGGCUUCAAUGAAUGUAUCCUUCUCUUCUCUGACUUACCAGAAAUUGACAUUGAACGCUGCGUACGAGAGUCAGUCAGUCUGUUUUGUUGGACUCCUAAAAGUGCUACAUACAGACAGCAUGCUCAACCCCCAAAACCAGCCUCUGAGAGCAGCGGAGUCCGAAGCUCAGCACCCUACUUCUCUAUUGACUGUACAGAUCCUCCAAAGACAGACCUGUCAAGAGAAUCCAUCACUUUAAAUGACCUAAAAUCAGAAGUAUCACCCCGGAUUUCAGCAGAGGACUUGAUUGAUUUGUGUGAGCUCACAGUGACAGGCCACUUCAAGACCCCCACCAAGAAAACCAAGUCUAGUAAGCCGAAACUCCUGGUGGUCGACAUCCGAAACAGUGAAGACUUUCUUCGGGGUCACAUCGCAGGCAGCAUCAACAUCCCGUUCAGCGCUGCGUUCACAGCAGAGGGAGAGCUCAGCCAGGGCCCUUACACCAUGAUGCUUCAGAAUUUCAAAGGGAAGGUCAUUGUGAUCGUGGGGCACGUGGCAAAGCACACAGCUGAGUUCGCAGCUCACCUUGUGAAGAUGAAAUAUCCAAGAGUCUGCACCCUAGAUGGUGGAAUUAAUAAGAUUAAGCCAACAGGACUCCUCACUGUCCCUUCUCCUCAGAUCUGAAAGACCAAGGGCAUGGCUGACAAGGACAGAGUGGCGUGGCCCCCUGAAGCAUAGCUCUUCACAGUCUGUCACACUGACAUACAAAUGGACAUCCAGACCACUGCAAUGCCACAAAGUUUUGUCAUGAGAUACUUUGGUAAAUUUUGUGAGUCAGAUGUUCACCUGUCUGAGCAAGAAACUUGACUGCACAUGUAUUGCCAAAAGAAUUUUCUUAAUAGUGAAAUCUGAUCAUGUAUUUUUACCACACUGCCACAUAAAGCCAGAGGAAUUCUGCUGACAAGGCAGAUCUAGCAUUAUCAAGAAUCCGCGAUGCACUGAGAAAGCAGCAUCCACUGCACUGAGCAAACUGUCCGAACAAAGGGGUUCAGAAAUACGGCGUGAACUCACCCCCUCUUCAUCAUCGCAGAAAUCAGAAAGCUGUUCAUAAUAAACAUGGCAUUUGGUAACUCACAAACAAGGGGUGUGUGUGUGUGUUUAGUCCAUUGUGACUCUCAGAGAAUUGGAAUCUCAGAAACCAGCCAUAUUUGAUAACUUGUUUGUCCACUUCCCGUAACGGCACUCAGCGAGGCUCAAACAGCUUUUUGGUCUAGCACACACAAGUCUGCACAGGCAGAGACUAUAAUCUUAUCUCUAUCAUGAUGCAGAGCCGGCGUCUCCUCCUACUGCUCUACCACAGAACAGCAUUCUUUUUGUGGUAAAUACAGCUUCUCAGACUGUGGCAGCGUGCACAGGUCUAAGCCAGGCGGGGUCCCGGCGCUGAGAGGGAAAAUGGACACAAGCUCCUGCCCCUAACCCAGAAGCCAUCUCAGAGUGAAGACUGUCUACUCUGAACAUCUGUAGAAGCAGCUCACGUUUCUGGGCCAUGAUUUCGUUCUUACUGUUACUGUCUUGACUCAUUUGCAUCUAAUUUGAAUGUUGU